UGGGUUAUAGCUCAGUGGUAGAACACAUGCCUAGCAUACAAGAGAUCCUGGGUUCAAUCCCCAGUACCUUCA
rnacentral:tRNA from 1 species